GUAACUUACAUAGAAAAAUAUUCUCUGUAGGGUUGCAUGUUGGUUUUCGACAAAGGACCUGCCUGGCUUUUAGCAAGAGUUAAUGCUGAUAACCUGUCAAAAAAAUAAACAAAAAAAGGAAAGGAAGGAAAACAGAGAAAGAGAAAGAAGAGAAUAGACCAUAGGUAUAAAGAUCUUUCAACAGCAUUACAGCGGCUGGGAGUUUCCUAGGUUGGGGAGGAAGAUACACCACCUGCCACACCAUCACUAAUGGGACUGUGACACUCUUCUCCUGUCAAUCAAUAAAGUCACCAGAAGGAACCUCCAAGGGAGGUGCAUCUUAUCUGAGGCCCACAGCUCCCAAGGCACUGGGCACCUGGAAUCCACUAGAAGGAAAUCAGAGUAACCAGUAAAGGCAUAAAACAAGAGGUAGCUUCGGCGACUGGCUACUCUUGGGGAUGCUGUCUAGUGACACAGCGUCAUGGGAAUUUCCUCCGUCUGCUUUGAGCUUGCCCAAUUCUGCCUGCCCCAAGUUUGGGAGAAAACCUGUUCAAAAAGAAUCAGUGAGAUUAAGACUUGGGGUUAGGACUUCACAAGUUUACUUUUUGUGUAAAACACGAACAAAUUUUGUCUAGAUAUGAGGAAAAGAACUUUUAAUCUUUCUCCCAGACUGAAAGGUAUUUCAGUAUAUUCAAGCUUUGCUUUUGCUUUCCUUUAUUAAUUAGUGGGGACAUCUGCAUUAACACAGGAUCAUUAAUUUAUGAUCUAGUGGGUCUUUUCUAUCUCUAACUUCCCUGAUGAAAGAGAAUGAAACAAAAAUGAACCGUUUGAUCAAGACCUCUCCCACAGAUUUAAAAGAUGGUCUUUGAAUAACAUUAAAGAUAUUGAUUUUGCUGUUGUGUA